UGCAUUGUGGGUGGCGAGCGGCUGGUUUGGAUUCCCGCUCACGGCCACCGUCAGUGGCGAGCGGAAGCUUCUGAAGCGGCGGCUCGCUGGGCCUCCUCUACGUCGACUCAGCCUGAAGGCGGGUGUCUCAGAUUGCCAGCACCAUGUGAUGGGAGCUCCAGGGCAUGCUGCGUGCUCGCCAGGAGGGGCUGGGCAAGAUGGCGUAGUCGCUGGAGCAGCUGCGGGCGCGGCACCGCCGCUCUCACCCUGGCGGAGUGCAGCAACACAGUGGGGCGGCACCAGCGGGACACUCUUGACAACGCAGCCAAGGCUGUUGCCCCGCUCGCCCGACUCGUUGAGAGGCUUGCCCACCCCCCAGGGCGUUGUCGUGAAGAUACCGCUGGGAGGAAGAAUAUCUCACAAUACUGGAAGAGGUGAGGACUACACAGUAAUUAACUGAGUGGGUCUGUGAGUGAGUUAGUGGAUGAGUCGGUGGGUGAGUCGGUGGGUGAGUGGGUGGGUCAGUGGUUGAGGGAGUAGGUGAGUGAGUGUGUUAGAGAAGUGGGUGUGUUGAAUGUGAGUGAAUAGAUGAGUGUGUGGAGGAGUGGAUUGUUGAGUGAGUCGUUGGGUGAGUGAGUAGGUGGGUGUGGGUUAGAG